rnacentral:rRNA from 1 species
CCAUACAGUAAUUAAGCACCUGGCGUGCUCCGUGUGCCGGCCGUCCCGGUUAAUACGAUAGGUGGCGGCGUUAUCCGCCAUCACUGUCGUCUAAUCAGGUUGCGUUAUGCGAGAACGUAAUUCAGCGCUGAAAUCCCUGAAAUCAGCUCCGAAUCUGUACGGUAAUACUAUCUGUCUUGAAUACCGUGGAGGUGAGCGGAAUAUGUCAUGUAACGGUGAAAUGCUUAGAUAUGACAUAGAACACCAAUUGCGAAGGCAGCUCGCUACACGGUCAUUGACGCUGAGGCACGAAAGCGUGGGGAUCAAACAGGAUUAGAUACCCUGGUAGUCCACGCCCUAAACGAUGAUUACUCGACAUCAGCGAUACACUGUUGGUGUCUAAGCUAACGCAUUAAGUAAUCCACCUGUGAAGUACGAUCGCAAGAUUGAAACUCAAAGGAAUUGGCGGGGGUCCGCACAAGCGGUGGAGCAUGUGGUUCAAUUCGAUGAUACGCGAGGAACCUU